rnacentral:lncRNA from 1 species
AGUCACAAAGGCAAAGAAAAUGAGGAACAGAAUAAUCAAGAAUGACAUUAAGAAGCUUCAAAAGGCAGGUCUCUUGAAACCUUCUCCCCCAAAAGUACCUGCUGCUAUAGUUCCAGCAAAAAAGAUGACUUCUUGCAGGCAAGAAGGCUCCAGCCCAGAAGGUUCCUGCCCAGAAAGCCACAGGCUAGAGGCAGUGCCUCCUCUGAAAGCUCAGAAGUUUCAAAAGCAACGUGCCCAGAAAGCAUGUUGUCCAAAAGCAUCUGGCAAGAAAGCG